CGGAGGCAGCAGUAAGGAAUAUUGGGCAAUGGGCGCAAGCCUGACCCAGCAACGCCGCGUGAGGGAAGAAGGCCUUCGGGUUGUAAACCUCUGUCCUUAGGGACGAAAAAAAUGACGGUACCUAAGGAGGAAGCUCCGGCUAACUACGUGCCAGCAGCCGCGGUAAUACGUAGGGAGCAAGCGUUGUCCGGAAUUACUGGGCGUAAAGGGUGCGUAGGUGGCCAGGCAAGUCAGAUGUGAAAUCCCCGGGCUUAACUCGGGUGCUGCAUUUGAAACUGCAUGGCUUGAGUGCAGGAGAGGAAAGCGGAAUUCCUAGUGUAGCGGUGAAAUGCGUAGAUAUUAGGAGGAACACCAGUGGCGAAGGCGGCUUUCUGGACUGUAACUGACACUGAGGCACGAAAGCGUGGGGAGCAAACAGGAUUAGAUACCCGCGUAGUCCA
rnacentral:rRNA from 1 species